ensembl:lncRNA
AUUAAAAUAAAUACAACUAUAUAACGUAAAUAUAUACUUGUUUGUACAAAAUAUAAUAACAUUGUUUAUGUUUUUUUCUGAAUUGUGACAUAUAACUUUUUUUCAUUACUUUUUUAACCAUUUUUUUUUAUAUACUCGUUAUAUGUACUUUUUUACUUAUUUAUUUAUUUUUUUUUUUUUUAAUUCUCUGUUUUCAUAUAUAUACAAUAUAUAGUCACUAAGAAAAAAAAAAAGUUAUCAGAUGCUGACGCAAAAAAAAGGUUACCCUGUAUAUAUGUUCAAACUAGUACAUCGUACUUAUUAAUUUUACUCUAAAUUUGGACUAUCUCCCAAUCUAACUAUCACGUAAACGAACUAACACAAACCGAGCAAGAUGGUAAAAAUAAAAAAAACAAGCAAGAGGGUCUCACUAAAACAAAAAUAUGCAGUUGAAAAAAAAGUUUCAGCUCAUAAAAAAAAGUUAAAAAAGAUAAUUAAAAAAACAAAUAUCCAUAAUCGUAGAUCAAAUAAAAAAUCUCUACAAAUUCCAAACUGUGUAUUUAAAAAGGAUAUAUUAAUAAACAUAAAAACUACGUCUUUAAUGAAAAAAGAAAAAAAAAAAAAAAAUAAACUUCAAAAUGAUAAAAAUAAGGAAAGUGAAGAAGACUAUAGAGAAAUUCAAAUGGACAGUAUAGAUCAACUGUCGAUAAAAAAAAUGAAAGUCGAAUUAGAUAUACUAACAAAUGGAGAAAAUAAUAAAAAGCAUGAGUCAAGUAUUUCGACAACGGAAAUGCAUAACUUGACUAUUAACAAAUAUAUAGAGCUACCUGUUAAUUUAAAAAUGGAAAUAUUUGAAAAAGUAAAAAAAGAAAAAUAUACAGAGCUGAAUGAAAAAUAUUUAUAUAUUAAUGAUUUAUUACAAGUUAUACAAUAUUCAGACAUUCUUUUUUAUAUUAUUGAUGUUAGAAAUCCGUUAAUAUAUAUGGAUAAAGAUAUACUUGAGUUUAUUCAUUCAUGUAAGAAAGAAAUUAUAAUUAUAUUAAAUAAAUGCGAUUUAGUAAACCAAACUGUAAUAGAACAAUGGUUAUUAUUCUUUCGUUUUUAUUAUAUAACUAUACCUUUUGUGUGCUCUGAAAAAAAUAAACCAAUAUAUUUAUACAAAAAACAAAACAAAACUAAUAUGUUACAAAAUAAAAAAAAACGACUCACAUACGAUGAAAAUAAUAAUAACAAUGAUAGUGAUGACGAUAACAAAUAUAAUGAGCAAAAAAAAUACACUUUAAUAAAAAAAUAUAUAACAAAAUUAUUCCCUACAAAUGUGGAUGUUACUUAUGGUGUUAUAGGACAUAUAUAUACAGGAAGGACAAGUUUUUUAAAUACAUUAUUAAAAGAAUUUAAUUAUACUUUUAAUGAUAAUAAAAAUACAAAGCUUGGCUUAAAUGUUUAUAAGCGUAUUCAUAUUUUUUCGAAAACUGGGUUAAUGUUAAAAAGAAAUAUAAACGGUUUAGAGUUAAUUAAAAAAAUACAUUUUGCCAAUUUAUUAGAAAAGGCAACUUUUUUAUCUGAAUUUCUAAUCAUUUUGGAUGAUCUUAGUUUUUUGAACUUUAUGAAAUUUUUAGAUGAACCAGAAAUAAUUCAAACAUAUCAAAAUAAUAUUACCGAACAUAUGAAUGAUAUACAAAAACAAGAAAUAAAAAAAAAAAUUAUUUAUGAUUUCUUUAUAAAAAAACAAAACGAACACAUGAAUAUUUCCAUUACUAAUAUUAACAGUGCAAAAGUUAACAAAUUAUACAAACAAUUUUUUUCAAAUAAAAUACCAUAUUAUAUAGUGCCUGCAACGAAAAUAGUAUAUCCAAAUAAGGAUGUUACUACUACUAAUGGCACUGGAGCUACUACCAAUGACAAUUUUUUCGAAGUGAAAGAAGAACUAUACAAAGAAAUUGAUAAGAUUAUUAUUUCUCAAAAAACUAAAUUUACUAAUUUUAUAGCUAUACAAAAUGACAUGUUUAAUUUUUACAACUAAUUAUUACAAACUUAUAAUUUAACUCUUAUUGCUCUUUCAGUACUCGUUGUUUUUUUUUAGCUUGGCAUGCAGAUAGGUAUGUAAGCACAUA